rnacentral:rRNA from 1 species
AGCAGCCGCGGUAAUUCCAGCUCCAAUAGCGUAUAUUAAAGUUGCUGCAGUUAAAAAGCUCGUAGUUGAAUUUCGGGACCAAUAUGUCGGUCGUGCCUCGGUACGUACUGGCAUCGUUGGUUUCUCCCUUCUGACGAACCAUGAUGUCAUUUAUUUGGUGUCGUGGGGAAUCAGGACUGUUACUUUGAAAAAAUUAGAGUGUUUAAAGCAGGCUCACGCUUGAAUACAUUAGCAUGGAAUAAUGAAAUAGGACGUUUGAUUCUAUUUUGUUGGUUUCUAGGAUCGACGUAAUGAUUAAUAGGGAUAGUUGGGGGGCAUUAGUAUUCAAUUGUCAGAGGUGAAAUUCUUGGAUUUAUUGAAGACUAACUACUGCGAAAGCAUUUGCCAAGGAUGUUUUCAUUAAUCAAGAACGAAAGUUAGGGGAUCGAAGACGAUCAGAUACCGUCGUAG